CUCGGCCUGUGGUACAGACCUAUUUAUGCACGACAUCUUGAGUAAAGUGGUUCAUAUUUAAAGCGUUAUCGUUGAUAGCUCUUCACUGACGAAUUUCCUUCAUAGUGCCUCCAUAAGUAACGACUGAUAACCGGCUAUAACACGCCCAUGGCGGCAAAAUUUUUUAAUAAAGGAAAUACACAUGUCUAACAUGAUGAAAGGUCAAGUAAAGUGGUUCAACGAGUCUAAAGGCUUCGGUUUCAUCACUCCAGCUGAUGGCAGCAAAGACGUGUUCGUUCACUUCUCUGCUAUCCAAGAUCAAGGCUUCAAGACCCUGGCUGAAGGCCAGAAUGUACAGUUCUCUAUCGAGAACGGUGCUAAAGGUCCGUCUGCAGCAAACGUAACUGCAAUCUAAUUGGCCUUUGGCUGAUUAUAAAAAAACCCGCUAAGGCGGGUUUUUUACU
rnacentral:sRNA from 21 species